rfam:Serratia symbiotica str. Tucson genomic scaffold scaffold00201, whole genome shotgun sequence.
AGCAGGGAGCAUCCACAGCAAAAAAGCGUGAACCGGCGGCGUUAGGAAGAGCGCGGCCGGCAAGC